UAAGGCUGAACCCCUUUAGGAUAGACUGUGU
rnacentral:piRNA from 1 species